rnacentral:misc_RNA from 1 species
UUUGGGAUAAAGGCUCAGUUGAGUCAAGUUGAGUUGAAUAUGUGUGAGUAACUAUGUAGGAAUGGGUGUGUGCCUUCUUCAAUAGGCACACACCCAUUCCCCUUGGAUGUGUGCCCUUUCCAAAGGGCAUAAAACCCUGUCUAACAGCCUCUUGCAAUUUUUUUUUUCUUUUGUUUCCCAUGAAACAGUAGUCUCACAACCUCCUAAAGGGUUGUGAACUUCCAUUAAUGGGUGUACUCAGGACGUAUAUCUCAUUCCCGAGGCACAUGUCCCUUCUGGUGUGGUCCAAAGAGUACGUCCCUUUUCAAUUUCCACAUUCAUUUUUAUGUAAUUUAUUUUGUUUUAUGCCUUAAAAUUGUUUAUUAUGUAUUUAUUUACUGCCUUUUAGUUUACAUGCUUUUUUCUUUUGUGAAAUCGAGUGAAUAUUUUGCCUAACAGGCUCAAGGAUGGGCACAUGCCCCUCAAACCAAUAGAAGCAGUUUGUUUCACUUAUUUUUGCUCCAUUUUGGUUUCUGCUUAAUUCAACACCUUAUAUAUGCCUCUCUAUAUUUUAAUUAUUGUUGUAAAGUUGUUUAAUUGUAAUACUAUUGCAUGGAAUGUGCUGUUUUCUGCUUGCUUUGAACCAUGUGUGAUUGAAUUGAUAAAAGGGACUAACCUAAUAAAAUGAACUUAAAAAUAGAACGAUAACCAAGUGGUUAUCUGCUGGGUGAAUUGAGGUGGCUAAAACUUUCCCUGUCCAUACCCAACUUCCAAAACCAUCUUUGUAUAAGUGAGGCGGUUAUAUCCUGUGUUGGCAUCAUCAUACCCCUGCUCUAAGAUCAAUGUCACAGUUUAUCAAGCUAAGAAUUCUCAUUUUCUAUGGGAUAGCCUUAGCAGUUAUUACAUAUUCCUCUAAACCUAAAGGUCUACAAAGAUGCUGUGCUCAUCUGCUUACACCAUAUGCAAAAUCAGUCAUACUCAAUAGCCUUUCGAAGUGUGUUUCACCAUCAAAUUGCAUCUCUAAAGUGCAUAUUUUGGAGCUCCUUUUAGACAACAUGUGCAAUUGAGCUUUAAACAUUUUAUGUCAAAACAUACCAAAGUUAAAAGAAAAGAAAUCAGUAUAGGUUCAUGUUUUAUGUUGUUUCUAUUUGGGAGGAUUGACGGGUAGAAGGAAAUGCAUUUUGACUUUACAUAUGUCAAGAUACAUUUUUUCCCUUUAAAGUAUCUUUCCUAUAUUAUUGACUACAUUCAUUUCCUUCCUUUUUUAACUUCCUCCCUAACAAACAUAUGCGUAAGUUAUGCAUACACUAGCUGUAACUAUUUAUGUCAUGUGUACAUUGAGUUUGUGCACAAUGUCCAUAGCAUGAAGUUCAUAAAGGAGAUGGUCAUGGUGCAAAUAUCCUCUUCAAAUAACGUCUCGCCAUCAUAAUUCGGUUUGUAAAAUUUUCUUUACUUUUUUUUUCUUUCUUUUUCACACCAUUUUAAAAUUAUAUUGAAUGACAACACUCAGAAGAACCCAUAAACAAUGCAAUAGUAUAAAUGCUCAAGAACAUGUACGGUGCAUCUUCUAUAUUUCUAUAUCCAUUUUAUGCCAAAAAAAAAAGUUCAUAAACUCACAGAAAGUGUGCAUAGGUGAGUGUAUUUACUUGUUUAGAC